GAUGAACACUAGCGGCGCGCUUAACGCAUGCAAGUCGAGCGAUGAGGCUCCCUUCGGGGAGUACAUCAGCGGCAGACGGGUGAGUAACACGUAGAUAACCUGCCCUCAAGACGGGGACAACCGGUGGAAACAGCGGCUAAUACCCGAUAUGCUCACAGGAUCGGGAGAUCGAGUGAGGAAAGCGCCCCUUCGGGGGAGAGUGUNUGAGGAGGGAUCUGCGGCCCAUCAGCUAGUUGGUGAGGUAACGGCUCACCAAGGCGAAGACGGGUAGGGGGUGUGAGAGCAUGGNCCCCCACAAUGGGACUGAGACACGGNCCAUAACUCCUACGGGAGGCAGCAGCGGGGAAUAUUGCGCAAUGGACGGAAGUCAGACGCAGCGACGCCGCGUGGGUGAGGAAGGCCUUCGGGUUGUAAAGCCCUUUUCAGGGGAGCGAGAAAGGACGGUACCCUUGGAAUAAGCGUCGGCUAACUACGUGCCAGCAGCCGCGGUAAGACGUAGGACGCAAGCGUUAUCCGGAUUUACUGGGCGUAAAGCGCCUGUAGGCGGUCAAGUAAGUCGGAUGUGAAAGCCCCGUGCUCAACGCGGGGAAGCCAUUCGAUACUGCGUGACUAGAGAACGGCAGAGGGGAAACGGAAUUUCUGGUGUAGCGGUAAUAUGCGCAGAGAUCCGAAAGAACACCGAUGGCGAAAGGCAGUUUUCCUAGGCCGCAUCUGACGCUGGAGAGGCGAAACUUGGGGGAUCAAACAGGUUUAGAGUCCCUGGUAGUCCUAGCUGGUAGACGAUGGAUGCUAGGUGUGGGCCGGAAAGGUCCGUGGCCGAAGUUAACGCGAUAAGCAAUCCGGCCUGGGGAGUACGACCGCAAGGCUAAAAGCUCAGACGAAUUGACGGGGACCCGCACAAGCAUCGGAGCGUGUGGUUUAAUUCGAUGCUACACGCAGAACCUUACCUGGGCUUGAC
rnacentral:rRNA from 1 species